rnacentral:snoRNA from 1 species
CAGCAAGGGCAUGAAUGGAGGAUGAGUGGGGUGCGCGUGCAGCCAGGCCCGAGGGGCGCAUGCGGGGUGGGGGGGUGUGCGCGUGGGACGAAUGCAGAUCCGGGGGGCGCGUGCGGGCUGUGUGNNNNNNNNNNGCGCGCGUGGGGCCCUGCUGCGUUCGAUUCCAGCUACACAUUGAUCUUAUUCGAUCGGGCCGGGGCGCGGCCGCCCGGCCCGAGAUGAGAAGACCCCUCCCGCGAAGCCCGCGGGCGCUGUGCGGGAGCAGAGACCAGGGGCCGCAGCCGCCGGCCUGGCCGGCGCUCAGAGAUGAUGAGUCGAUCAGAUAGAUGAGGCCGCGGGGCGGGGCCGCUUGGUUCCGGGCCCCCGGCCUGUGAGUAGCAAGGCGAUUCUGAUCUGA